rnacentral:ncRNA from 1 species
GUCUGGGGUGCCACUUGGCUGAGAUUAGACCCAUUGAACCUGUCUAGAUAAUGCUAGCGAAGGAAGCGCGUUU